rnacentral:rRNA from 1 species
UACUUAGGAAUCUGCCUAUUAAUGGGGGACAACAUCUCGAAAGGGAUGCUAAUACCGCAUACGCCCUACGGGGGAAAGCAGGGGAUCACUUGUGACCUUGCGUUAAUAGAUGAGCCUAAGUCGGAUUAGCUAGUUGGUGGGGUAAAGGCCUACCAAGGCGACGAUCUGUAGCGGGUCUGAGAGGAAGAUCCGCCACACUGGGACUGAGACACGGCCCAGACUCCUACGGGAGGCAGCAGUGGGGAAUAUUGGACAAUGGGGGGAACCCUGAUCCAGCCAUGCCGCGUGUGUGAAGAAGGCCUUAUGGUUGUAAAGCACUUUAAGCGAGGAGGAGGCUCUCUUGGUUAAUACCCAAGAAGAGUGGACGUUACUCGCAGAAUAAGCACCGGCUAACUCUGUGCCAGCAGCCGCGGUAAUACAGAGGGUGCGAGCGUUAAUCGGAUUUACUGGGCGUAAAGCGUGCGUAGGCGGCUUUUUAAGUCGGAUGUGAAAUCCCCGAGCUUAACUUGGGAAUUGCAUUCGAUACUGGGAAGCUAGAGUAUGGGAGAGGAUGGUAGAAUUCCAGGUGUAGCGGUGAAAUGCGUAGAGAUCUGGAGGAAUACCGAUGGCGAAGGCAGCCAUCUGGCCUAAUACUGACGCUGAGGUACGAAAGCAUGGGGAGCAAACAGGAUUAGAUACCCUGGUAGUCCAUGCCGUAACGAUGUCUACUAGCCGUUGGGGCCUUUGAGGCUUUAGUGGCGCAGCUAACGCGAUAAGUAGACCGCCUGGGGAGUACGGCCGCAAGACUAAAACUCAAAUGAAUUGACGGGGGCCC